CUGUAUUUAGUUAAUCCACUUUAGUGGGAAAUAACAGUAAAAUUUUGCUGCUAAUGCAGUAAACAUUUAUGAAAUGUAAGAGAGAAGCUUUAAGUAAUGCUUCAGGCAAACUGACCCAAAUCUAAAAAAAAUAAAAUCAAAGUGCUCUUGUUAUGUUUUGAAUUACUGUUCAUCUGACCAAAAAAAAGAAAAAAAAAGGUUUUUUUGUUUGAGGUUUUUUUUCCUGUUCUUAACAAAUAAACUUUAUAGGAAUCGGGCUUCCAGAUCUGUCCCUUGUUGUUUAAAACUGGAUGAGAUGACAAUGCAAAAAAAUGGAAGUAACAAGAAGCAUCAUACUUGUCUUCUCCUCAGCAGUGUUGAGAAAAAACUGUGGAUCCUGGAAUUUUGCUGUGGAUUUUACUGGUUUUCUGAAGUACUGUAAGUUGAAGUCUUGUCCUGCAGGCCCUCACGAGCACCAGUAGCUCCUCGCCAGAACAACACCCUCGCCCUGGUGAAUACAGCUGAUCCUGCUGUUCCCACUGAAGCAGCAAUUGCCUGAUUGUGUCCAUGGAGUCGGUGCAGGAGGAGCUGACGUGCUUGUGUUCAGAGGUGAGUUGGGAAGGUAAGCUCGUGUGUCCCACCUGCUCCAAAAUACCUGCAGCAUCUGCAUCCCUCUGGGUAAGCACAGCGUCCUCUGAAAUCCAUAUCCCUUUUUGAGUACUGCAGGUGAUGCCUUGGAGAGGCCGAGAUAAGCUCAAAUCAUCCUGUUCAGCUGCCCAUUUCUGACUGAAAGUUGAGAUUCCAUAGCACAAACUGAGUUUGAAGCGUGAGAUGAGAUGAUCCAAACACAGAACUUUCUAUUGCUUUAGAUACUGAUUCUGUCAUGUCAUAAACACGCAUAUUUUCUCAGAUACGUAUUUCACUGCCUAUCCCCAAUUUCCACUUGCCCAAUACUCAGUGUGAAUGAUUUUUCCCUCUGUGCUAGAAGCUGGCAGAGGUGUACUGAACCCUUGCUUUGGAAAGUCCUUGGUGAAGACAGCUGUUGCCCUCUUUGUUGAACUGGGCAAAAGUUUGGUUUAUAUAUAUAAAAACAUUAAUUAAAACAUGAACCUCAGACACCAUCAAAAUGGAUUCUAGAGCUAA